UCUCGAGUCGUUUAUUUAUUUAUUUUCAACCGUCACCGGUCUGUGUCUACAUGGGGUUAAUACUAUACCACCAGGGGAAAGUGCGAUUAAUUUUUAUUAAGGUGAUGACUUCUAACUGCAGCCCUAAAAGACAUGGAACCUGGAUUACCCAUUGAAGGCACUCUGCAAAACGUUGAUGGAGGACCUGCUCUGGCAACAAGUGGAAAUGCCAGAGAAAAAAUGCACAGGUGUUUUAGAGCGAUGGAGACUCGUGUACAAAAUCGAGAGCAGGCGUCUGAGCACACAAUUAAA